rnacentral:rRNA from 1 species
UACGGAGGGUGCAAGCGUUAUCCGGAAUCACUGGGUUUAAAGGGUGCGUAGGUGGUUUAGUAAGUCAGAUGUGAAAGCCCGGCGCUUAACGUCGGAAUUGCAUUUGAUACUGCUAAACUUGAAUAAGGUUGAGGUGGGCGGAAUGUGGCAUGUAGCGGUGAAAUGCAUAGAUAUGCCAUAGAACACCAAUUGCGAAGGCAGCUCACUGGCCCUUAAUUGACACUGAGGCACGAAAGCGUGGGGAGCGAAC